rnacentral:lncRNA from 1 species
UCCCCUGGUGUGGUUUGUGUGGUGCGAUCAUCUAGACUGACUGAGAGAGAUGGUGUAGUGGAAUUUCUUCCACCACUUGCGUUGUGAACCCUUCAUAGUAUGGUUUCAGAUAUGGUUCCUCCCAAACAUUAUGUUUUGCAUUCUUCUUGAUUUUAUCUUUUGUGUGCUUAGGCCUAUCAAAUGGGAAGUUGCUUUCUACACAUUCAGGAGGUUGCCACAUUGAGAGCUUCUGUUUGGGC